UACGUAGGGGCCUAGCGUUGUCCGGAAUUAUUGGGCGUAAAGAGCUCGUAGGCGGUUCGGCAAGUCGGAUGUGAAAUCUCCACGCUUAACGUGGAGGGGCCAUUCGAACCUGCUGUGACUCGAGUCCGGUAGGGGAGUGUGGAAUUCCCGGUGUAGCGGUGAAAUGCGCAGAUAUCGGGAGGAACACCAGUAGCGAAGGCGGCACUCUGGGCCGGAACUGACGCUGAGGAGCGAAAGCGUGGGGAGCGAACAGG
rnacentral:rRNA from 1 species